rnacentral:misc_RNA from 1 species
GGAAUUUUGGACAAUGGGCGCAAGCCUGAUCCAGCCAUGCCGCGUGUCUGAAGAAGGCCUUCGGGUUGUAAAGGACUUUUGUCCGGGAGCAAAUCCCAGUGGUUAAUACCUACUGGGGCUGAGAGUACCGGAAGAAUAAGCACCGGCUAACUACGUGCCAGCAGCCGCGGUAAUACGUAGGGUGCAAGCGUUAAUCGGAAUUACUGGGCGUAAAGCGUGCGCAGGCGGUUGUGCAAGUCUGAUGUGAAAGCCCCGGGCUUAACCUGGGAACGGCAUUGGAGACUGCACGACUAGAGUGCGUCAGAGGGGGGUAGAAUUCCGCGUGUAGCAGUGAAAUGCGUAGAGAUGCGGAGGAAUACCGAUGGCGAAGGCAGCCCCCUGGGAUGACACUGACGCUCAGGCACGAAAGCGUGGGGAGCAAACAGGA